GACGAACGCUGGCGGCGGGCUUAACACAUGCAAGUCGAACGGAAAGGCCCUGCUUUGGUGGGGUGCUCGAGUGGCGAACGGGUGAGUAACACGUGAGUAACCUGCCCUUGACUUUGGGAUAACGUCAGGAAACUGGGGCUAAUACCGGAUAGGAGCUCCUGCUGCAUGGUGGGGGUUGGAAAGUUUCGGCGGUUGGGGAUGGACUCGCGGCUUAUCAGCUUGUUGGUGGGGUAGUGGCUUACCAAGGCUUUGACGGGUAGCCGGCCUGAGAGGGUGACCGGACAAAUUGGGCCUGAGAUACGGCCCAGCCUCGUACGGGAGGCAGCAGUGGGGAAUAUUGCACAAUGGGCGGAAGCCUGAUGCAGCCACGCCGCGUGCGGGAUGACGGCCUUCGGGUUGUAAACCGCUUUCGCCUGUGACGAAGAGUGAGUGACGGUAAUGGGUAAAGAAGCACCGGCUAACUCCGUG
rnacentral:rRNA from 1 species